GAUGAACGCUAGCGACAGGCUUAACACAUGCAAGUCGAGGGGCAGCAUAAAAGUAGCAAUACUUUGGUGGCGACCGGCGCACGGGUGAGUAACGCGUAUGCAACCUACCUAUCAGAGGGGAAUAACCCGGCGAAAGUCGGACUAAUACCGCAUAAAACAGGGGCACCGCAUGGUGAUAUUUGUUAAAGAAAUUCGCUGAUAGAUGGGCAUGCGUUCCAUUAGGUAGUUGGUGAGGUAACGGCUCACCAAGCCGACGAUGGAUAGGGGAACUGAGAGGUUGGUCCCCCACACUGGUACUGAGACACGGACCAGACUCCUACGGGAGGCAGCAGUGAGGAAUAUUGGUCAAUGGGCGGGAGCCUGAACCAGCCAAGUCGCGUGAGGGAAGAAGGAUCUAUGGUUCGUAAACUUCUUUUGCAGGGGAAUAAGGUGCAGGACGUGUCCUGUUUUGUAUGUACCCUGAGAAUAAGGAUCGGCUAACUCCGUGCCAGCCGCCGCCGUAAGAC
rnacentral:rRNA from 1 species